rnacentral:rRNA from 1 species
AGAUAAGCCAUGCAUGUCUAAGUAUAAGCAAUUAUACCGUGAAACUGCGAAUGGCUCAUUAAAUCAGUUAUCGUUUAUUUGAUAGUACCUUACUACUUGGAUAACCGUGGUAAUUCUAGAGCUAAUACAUGCUUACAACCUCGACUUCGGAAGGGGUGUAUUUAUUAGAUAAAAAACCAACGCCCUUCGGGGCUUCUUGGUGAUUCAUGAUAACUUUACGGAUCGCAUGGCCUUGCGCCGGCGACGGUUCAUUCAAAUUUCUGCCCUAUCAACUUUCGAUGGUAAGGUAUUGGCUUACCAUGGUUUCAACGGGUAACGGGGAAUUAGGGUUCGAUUCCGGAGAGGGAGCCUGAGAAACGGCUACCACAUCCAAGGAAGGCAGCAGGCGCGCAAAUUACCCAAUCCCAAUACGGGGAGGUAGUGACAAUAAAUACUGAUACAGGGCUCUUUUGGGUCUUGUAAUUGGAAUGAGUACAAUUUAAACCUCUUAACGAGGAACAAUUGGAGGGCAAGUCUGGUGCCAGCAGCCGCGGUAAUUCCAGCUCCAAUAGCGUAUAUUAAAGUUGUUGCAGUUAAAAAGCUCGUAGUUGAACCUUGGGUCUGGCUGGCAGGUCCGCCUCACCGCGUGUACUUGUCCGGCCGGGCCUUCCUUCUGGAGAACCUCAUGCCCUUCACUGGGCGUGUUGGGGACCAGGACUUUUACUUUGAAAAAAUUAGAGUGUUCAAAGCAGGCCUUUGCUCGAAUACGUUAGCAUGGAAUAAUAGAAUAGGACGUGCGGUCCUAUUUUGUUGGUUUCUAGGACCGCCGUAAUGAUUAAUAGGGACAGUCGGGGGCAUCAGUAUUCAAUUGUCAGAGGUGAAAUUCUUGGAUUUAUUGAAGACUAACUACUGCGAAAGCAUUUGCCAAGGAUGUUUUCAUUAAUCAGUGAACGAAAGUUAGGGGAUCGAAGACGAUCAGAUACCGUCGUAGUCUUAACCGUAAACUAUGCCGACUAGGGAUCGGGCGAUGUUAUUUUUCUGACUCGCUCGGCACCUUACGAGAAAUCAAAGUUUUUGGGUUCUGGGGGGAGUAUGGUCGCAA